AAAGUUACUUUGGACUGGGCCAAAC
rnacentral:piRNA from 1 species